rnacentral:rRNA from 1 species
UUCGGAUCGUAAAGCUCUGUUGCAGGAGAAAAACGGCAGAUAUAGGAAAUGAUAUCUGAGUGAUGGUAACCUGCCAGAAAGUCACGGCUAACUACGUGCCAGCAGCCGCGGUAAUACGUAGGUGGCGAGCGUUAUCCGGAAUGAUUGGGCGUAAAGGGUGCGUAGGUGGCCUUAUAAGUCUGGAGUGAAAGGCGGCAGCUCAACUGCCGUAUGCUCUGGAAACUGUGAGGCUGGAGUGCAGGAGAGGGCGAUGGAACUCCAUGUGUAGCGGUAAAAUGCGUAGAUAUAUGGAAGAACACCAGUGGCGAAGGCGGUCGCCUGGCCUGUAACUGACACUGAAGCACGAAAGCGUGGGGAGCAAAUAGGAUUAGAUACCCUAGUAGUCCACGCCGUAAACGAUGAGAACUAGGUGUUGGGGGAAUAACUCAGUGCCGCAGUUAACGCAGUAAGUUCUCCGCCUGGGGAGUAUGCACGCAAGUGUGAAACUCAAAGGAAUUGACGGGGGCCCGCACAAGCGGUGGAGUAUGUGGUUUAAUUCGAAGCAACGCGAAGAACCUUACCAGGCCUUGACAUCCCCUGCAAAGACAUGGAGACAUGUUGGAGGGUAUCAGGGAGACAGGUGGUGCAUGGUUGUCGUCAGCUCGUGUCGUGAGAUGUUGGGUUAAGUCCCGCAACGAGCGCAACCCCUGUGAUAUGUUACCAGUAUCAAGUUAGGGACUCAUAUCAGACUGCCGGUGACAAACCGGAGGAAGGUGGGGAUGACGUCAAAUCAUCAUGCCCCUUAUGGCCUGGGCUACACACGUACUACAAUGGCAUCUACAAAGAGCAGCGGCACUGUGAAGUGGAGCGAAUCUCAUAAAGGAUGUCUCAGUUCGGAUUGAAGUCUGCAACCCGACUUCAUGAAGUUGGAAUCGCUAGUAAU